rnacentral:rRNA from 1 species
GAUGAACGCUGGCGGCAGGCUUAACACAUGCAAGUCGAACGGUUGUCUUCGGAUGGCCGUGGCGCACGGGUGAGUAACGCGUGGGAACGUGCCCCUGGGUUGGGGAUAACGGCGGGAAACUGCCGAUAAUACCUGAUAUGGAGCGAUCUGAAAGAUUUAUCGCCCAGGGAUCGGCCCGCGUUGGAUUAGCUGGUUGGUGUGGUAAAGGCGCACCAAGGCGACGAUCCAUAGCUGGUCUGAGAGGACGAUCAGCCACACUGGGACUGAGACACGGCCC